GUUUUUCUCCAGAGGAAAAAUAAAGCAUUUAGGUUUAUAAACUUGGACAGUACAAAUAAGAAUAAAGAAGGUCAAAAAUUACCUUUAUUGAUCUCGCCAUUCAGAAGCAACUGUUUGCCCACGUUGAAAGGGAUUUGGAGCAAGAGAAACUCUGGUUUGCAUCCCAGCGCUGCCACUUGCUCUCCCUGAGACCUUGGACAAGUGAUUGGGCCUCUCUGCACCUCAGCUUUCCCUGGGGAGAGCCAUCAUUUACCCACCUUAUCUCAUUUUCAUAACAAUCUUGCAAGAAAAGUGCACAGCACAGUGCCUGGUGGGCACUCAGUUUUUAUGUGAUGCAUCUGUCAACUUCCCAAAGAAACUACUGGAGAAAAACCCCACAUUAAAGUUCAGACUCAUUGCAGUAAAGGAGAACCCCUGAUAGUUUGAGUCUUCUCAGGUCAAAGCUUCCAUCUCUCCCUGUUUCAUGAACUUAACUUCUGAGGAGUACUGGUCAGGUGUUCUGUAGGAUGUCCACCUGCUGUUGGUCUGAUGCUUUUCACAUGAGGAUCCUGGGGUGAUGCUUCCCAAGAAGACGA